GGCAGCAGCUAAGAAUAUUCCGCAAUGGACGAAAGUCUGACGGAGCGACGCCGCGUGGACGAGGAAGGUCGGAAGAUUGUAAAGUCCUUUUAUAUGUGGAGAAUAAGCAGGGGAGUGGAAAGCCCUUGUGGUGACUGUAGCAUAUGAAUAAGAGGCGGCUAAUUACGUGCCAACAGCCGCGGUAACACGUAAGCCUCGAGCGUUGUUCGGAAUUAUUGGGCGUAAAGGGCGUGUAGGCGGUCAUGCAAGUCUGAUGUGAAAGGCGGGGGCUCAACCCCUGGACUGCGUUGGAAACUGCGUGGCUGGAGUUACUGAGGAGCAGCCGGAAUUCCAGGUGUAGGGGUGAAAUCUGUAGAUAUCUGGAAGAACACCAAUGGCGAAGGCAGGCUGCUAGCAGAUAACUGACGCGGAGGCGCGAAGGUGCGGGGAGCAAACAGGAUUAGAUACCCUGGUAGUCCGCACAGUCAACUAUGCACACUAGAUGUCCGGCUUUAAGGUUGGGUGUCGAAGCAAACGCGAUAAGUGUGCCGCCUGGGGAGUAUGCCCGCAAGGGUGAAACUCAAAGGAAUUGACGG
rnacentral:rRNA from 1 species